AUAAGUAUUCCAAAAGCUAUUACAUCAAAUGAGUGGCUUUGUGGGCAUACUUCCAACACAAAAGUGAUCCUUGAUGUAAUUUUUAUGUCAUAUCAUCUUUUCCUUAAAACUACACUUGUGAUUUGAUUCUCUGUCCCAGAGAUAUGUAAGUAAUCUUUAUCGGAUUCAAUCACAGCCCCUUGUAAAUCAACUUUACUUGGAUCAUGAAUAACGAGCAUCUAUUCAUCUUAAAUAAUUGUUCUUUCUUUAUUUUUUUUAGUGAUGUAGGGAGUACCCUACUUGUUCAAAACAUGGCCCAAACUUUGAAAACUUCGCAACUAUGCAAGUAAAAAAUGUUUAAAGUUACAUGUCAAAGGAGCUUUAUUUAGCCCAAUCUGUCUGAAACGGUUAAUGUCACAGCCCGUCCCUAAUUAUUAUUAUCGGUGAUGUAAAAUGAUGGUUUUAUCCUUGGACGUUAAAUGAUGUGUGUGAGUUAUUAUUGGGUUAAAUUAUUUUAGAUUGGUGACCCAAUUAGAACUAAGACUUUUCUUAGUGUUGAUUGGUGGCUUUUGGACCACACACACACCCAUCUUUUUCUCUCUCCUUCCCGUGCUCUCUCUAUCUCGUAGACUCUUACUUUCUCUCCCCCUUCUUCAUACGGACCAACCCAGAAACCCUCUCAAACCUUGAAGAUCGAAGGUUUUAAGAUCAUCAUUGUGUUCAUGAGGACCAUACGAGUUCAAAGGUACCAUUUUCAGGUCAGGAAACCCUUAAAAACCCGUGAAAAUCCUAGCUCCUAUUUGAGGUACUAUUCAUGUGGACGUAAAAUCUUGUCUGUUGAUGCACAAAAUCAGUGAGGACUUUGGUACAACAGAAAGUGCUAAGUUUGUGACCUUUGCUAGAUUGCUCCAGUCACUAGUGUGGAUAAGUAUGUAAAUGGAUAGAGAUAGGGAAGCAAACACAAGAUGUACGUGGUUCACCUGGAUUGGCUACGUCCACGGAGUAGUAGAGUUCUCAGUAAUUGUGAAAGGUUUACACAAGUACAUAGGUUCAAGCUCUCUUUUAGUGAGUACUAGUGAAUGAUUUAGUACAAAUAACAUUAGAAAAUAUUAUGAGAGAAUGAUCUCUAUUUAUAGAAGAGAGUUU
rnacentral:lncRNA from 1 species